GAAGCGACUGAAAGAAAGAACUG
rnacentral:piRNA from 1 species